rnacentral:rRNA from 1 species
CACCGCGGUUAAACGAAAGUAGCCCGAGCUGAUAGACAACGGCACAAAAGGUGGCUAGGGAACACAUAAACUAAAGCCGAACACUCACUCCUCACUGUAUUAACGUACGCGAAGAGCAUGAAGAUCAUUUACGAAAGUAGCUUUAUUUCACCUGAAACCCACGAAAGCUAAGAAA